GACGAACGCUGGCGGCGUGCCUAAUACAUGCAAGUUGAGCGCUGAAGGUUGGUACUUGUACCAACUGGAUGAGCAGCGAACGGGUGAGUAACGCGUGGGGAAUCUGCCUUUGAGCGGGGGACAACAUUUGGAAACGAAUGCUAAUACCGCAUAAAAACUUUAAACACAAGUUUUAAGUUUGAAAGAUGCAAUUGCAUCACUCAAAGAUGAUCCCGCGUUGUAUUAGCUAGUUGGUGAGGUAAAGGCUCACCAAGGCGAUGAUACAUAGCCGACCUGAGAGGGUGAUCGGCCACAUUGGGACUGAGACACGGCCCAAACGCCUACGGGAGGCAGCAGUAGGGAAUCUUCGGGAAGGGACGAAAGUCUGACCGAGAAACGCCGCGUGAGGGAAGAAGGGUUUCGGAUCGUAAAACUCUGUUGGUAGAGAAGAACGUUGGUGAGAGUGGAAAGCUCAUCAAGUGACGGUAACUACCCAGAAAGGGACGGCUAACUACGUG
rnacentral:rRNA from 1 species